GAAGUGAAGAACCUCUCGGCCAGCAGUGGUCUGUUUCAGCUCAUUACCGAUAUGAUCGACAAAUCUUCGAAAGAACGUUAUACUGACCCGUCCUAUUCGAAAACAAUAUUUCUUCAAAUUUCUCAGAGCAACAGUGUAAGAGCAUCUGAGACCAAGAUGGAGGUGGAAAUACAGCAAUGGUUCAAGGUGCCUGAGGGGCCUGACCUCUGUUUCCCAGGCAACCACAUUGUUGAGGAUGUCAUAAGAAAGGCACUCACCCCUCGGUUUGGCCCGGUUUCAAUCAUCAGUAUCACAGAUAGUUUCAGUGUUGUGGCGACCUUUCUAACCAACAUUAAGUUUGAGGAUGCACUCAACAACCACACCAGCGAAGAGUUCAAAAAUCUGGAAAGACAGAUUAUUAAAGUGAUUGAUGAAAUUACCAAAACCAAACAUGGAAUAGUCUAUAAAAGAACACUUGUUCUGGGUUUCAGGCCGAGGGCGACGAGCAGGAGGACUAAAAGAAGCGUCAUGGAGACGGAGGUGGAGCUACAAGAGGACUUUGACUCCACCUCCACUUCCUCCUCGUCCUCCAACUCCUCCACUCCAGCUUUCCCCCGGGCCGAUGACAUCUUGGACACGCUGAAGAGAGCUGCAGCCAACUCCAGUUUAGGCUUCACAGUGGAUAUAGACUCCAUCAACGUCACAGCGGCUGUGACCUCUGGAGCGGUGAACUGUUGGGCUCUCUCUGCACGUCUGAUUGGGCUCUCUCUGCUCGUCUCAUGGACGUGGUUGGCUGGUUGACCUGUCAAUCAACUCCGCAACCAAUACUGAAUGAGACACAGCUGCACCCUCCCUCACUCCCCAAACUGAA
ensembl:lncRNA